GGUUAGUGUAUUCUAUGUGUGGCCCAAGACAACUCUUCUUCCAGUGUGGCUCAGGGAACCCAAAAGACUGGACACUCCUGGUUUCCAAGUUGCUCAAGGAGCCCCCGUGUUAGAAAAUGCAGUGGUGUCACCUCCAGACUUCCACCCGCAGGGGAGCAAGGGGUGGGUGAGUUGAAGGCUGUCGUCAGCAUGUCCUGCCUGUGGCUUCUGAAGGUGACUGACCUGUUUCCUGGAGACAUCUUCACCAACUGUGGAGUUUUACAUUUUACAGCUUCCAUCACCUGUCAAAGACUGACUUCUCUCAUCUAAACUCUUAGGACAGCCUCAUUGGCCCAGGCUGCCCGGGUGUCCAUUCUUGGAGAGGUCAACCAGAUGGCAGGAGAAUGAAGACCCUGGUAGUUCUCACAAUUAUCAUGUGGCAGAGGGGGACUGACUA